AAGGACUUUUGUCAGGGAGCAAAACUUACUGGUUAAUACCCGGUGAGGCUGAGAGUACCUGAAGAAUAAGCACCGGCUAACUACGUGCCAGCAGCCGCGGUAAUACGUAGGGUGCAAGCGUUAAUCGGAAUUACUGGGCGUAAAGCGUGCGCAGGCGGACUUUUAAGCCAGAUGUGAAAGCCCCGAGCUUAACUUGGGAAUUGCGUUUGGAACUGGGAGUCUAGAGUCUGUCAGAGGGGGAUGGAAUUCCACGUGUAGCAGUGAAAUGCGUAGAGAUGUGGAGGAACACCGAUGGCGAAGGCAGUCCCCUGGGAUAAGACUGACGGCUCAUGCACGAAAGCGUGGGGAGCAAACAGGAUUAGAUACCCUGGUAGUCCACGCCCUAAACGAUGUCUACUAGUUGUUGGGGUAGGCAAUACCUCAGUGACGCAGCUAACGCGUGAAGUAGACCGCCUGGGGAGUACGGUCGCAAG
rnacentral:rRNA from 1 species